rnacentral:rRNA from 1 species
AUUGAACGCUGGCGGCAUGCUUUACACAUGCAAGUCGAACGGUAAUAGGCCGCAAGGUGCUGACGAGUGGCGAACGGGUGAGUAAUGCAUCGGAACGUGCCCAGUCGUGGGGGAUAACGCAGCGAAAGCUGCGAUAAUACCGCAUACGAUCUCUGGAUGAAAGCGGGGGACCGAAAGGCCUCGCGCGAUUGGAGCGGCCGAUGUCAGAUUAGGUAGUUGGUGGGGUAAAGGCCCACCAAGCCAACGAUCUGUAGCGGGUCUGAGAGGACGACCAGCCACACUGAGACUGAGACACGGCCCAGACUCCUACGGGAGGCAGCAGUGGGGAAUUUUGGACAAUGGGCGCAAGCCUGAUCCAGCAAUGCCGCGUGCAGGAAGAAGGCCUUCGGGUUGUAAACUGCUUUUGUACGGAACGAAACGGUCCGGGUUAAUACCCUGGGCUAAUGACGGUACCGUAAGAAUAAGCACCGGCUAACUACGUGCCAGCCGCCGCCGUAAGAC